GACGAACCGUGCGAACGUUGUUCGGAUUCACUGGGCUUAAAGGGCGCGUAGGCGGGUCGGUCCGUCUGGGGUGAAAUCCUCUCGCUUAACGAGAGAACGGCCCCGGAUACCACCGAUCUCGAGGGAGGUAGGGGCAUGUGGAACUUCCGGUGGAGCGGUGAAAUGCGUAGAUAUCGGAAGGAACGCCGGUGGCGAAAGCGACGUGCUGGACCUUUUCUGACGCUGAGGCGCGAAAGCCAGGGGAGCAAACGGG
rnacentral:rRNA from 1 species